AUUGAACGCUGGCGGCAGGCCUAACACAUGCAAGUCGAACGAGUGGCGGACGGGUGAGUAAUGUCUGGGCAACUGCCUGAUGGAGGGGGAUAACUACUGGAAACGGUAGCUAAUACCGCAUACCAUCGGAUGUGCCCACAUGGGAUUAGCUAGUAGGUGGGGUAACGGCUCACCUGGACGACGAUCCCUAGCUGGUCUGAGAGGAUGACCAGCCACACGGGAACUGAGACACGGGCCAGAGUCAUACGGGAGGCAGAAGUGGGGAAUAUUGCACAAGGGGCGCAAGCCUGAUGCAGCCAUGCCGCGUGUAUGAAGAAGGCCGUCGGGUUGUAAAGUACUUUCAGCGGGGAGGCGUUACCCGCAGAAGAAGCACCGGCUAACUCCGUGCCAGCAGCCGCGGUAAUUC
rnacentral:rRNA from 1 species